rnacentral:rRNA from 1 species
GUACACUCCUACGGGAGGCAGCAGUGGGGAAUUUUGGACAAUGGGCGAAAGCCUGAUCCAGCCAUGCCGCGUGCAGGAUGAAGGCCUUCGGGUUGUAAACUGCUUUUGUACGGAACGAAACGGCCUUUUCUAAUAAAGAGGGCUAAUGACGGUACCGUAAGAAUAAGCACCGGCUAACUACGUGCCAGCAGCCGCGGUAAUACGUAGGGUGCAAGCGUUAAUCGGAAUUACUGGGCGUAAAGCGUGCGCAGGCGGUUAUGUAAGACAGUUGUGAAAUCCCCGGGCUCAACCUGGGAACUGCAUCUGUGACUGCAUAGCUAGAGUACGGUAGAGGGGGAUGGAAUUCCGCGUGUAGCAGUGAAAUGCGUAGAUAUGCGGAGGAACACCGAUGGCGAAGGCAAUCCCCUGGACCUGUACUGACGCUCAUGCACGAAAGCGUGGGGAGCAAACAGGAUUAGAUACCCGAGUAGUCCCAUGAU